UACGUAGGGAGCGAGCGUUAUCCGGAUUUAUUGGGUGUAAAGGGUGCGUAGACGGGAAUACAAGUUAGUUGUGAAAUACCUCGGCUUAACUGAGGAACUGCAACUAAAACUAUAUUUCUUGAGUACAGGAGAGGUAAGUGGAAUUCCUAGUGUAGCGGUGAAAUGCGUAGAUAUUAGGAGGAACACCAGUGGCGAAGGCGACUUACUGGACUGAAACUGACGUUGAGGCACGAAAGUGUGGGGAGCAAACAGG
rnacentral:rRNA from 2 species